rnacentral:rRNA from 1 species
GAUGAACGCUGGCGGCGUGCCUAAUACAUGCAAGUCGAGCGAAUGGAUUAAGAGCUUGCUCUUAUGAAGUUAGCGGCGGACGGGUGAGUAACACGUGGGUAACCUGCCCAUAAGACUGGGAUAACUCCGGGAAACCGGGGCUAAUACCGGGUAACAUUUUGAACCGCAUGGUUCGAAAUUGAAAGGCGGCUUCGGCUGUCACUUAUGGAUGGACCCGCGUCGCAUUAGCUAGUUGGUGAGGUAACGGCUCACCAAGGCAACGAUGCGUAGCCGGCCUGAGAGGGUGAUCGGCCACACUGGGACUGAGACACGGCCCAGACUCCUACGGGAGGCAGCAGUAGGGAAUCUUCCGUAAUGGACGAAAGUCUGACGGAGCAACGCCGCGUGAGUGAUGAAGGCUUUCGGGUCGUAAAACUCUGUUGUUAGGGAAGAACAAGUGCUAGUUGAAUAAGCUGGCACCUUGACGGUACCUAACCAGAAAGCCACGGCUAACUACGUGCCAGCCGCCGCAGUAA